CUCUCUCUCCUCCUGGUUUGUAAUAAUUAACCUCUUCUAUCAGGGGACUCAGUCUAAUUGUCUUUCCUGUAAACAGUUGGUAAUUAUGAGUAAAGUAGUGGGGCAAGAAAGUGAGAAUACAGGAGGGAACUUCUCCUGUUCCCAGGGCCUGCGUUUUCAGCAGCAGCAGCAGCAGCAGCAGCAGCAACGUGCCAUGUGCCGCGAGAUGUGACAGCAGUAGAAUCGGAUCGAUCCUUUCACUACUUCAUGGCCUAAGUUUUCAAAGGAACACUCUUUGUAGGAUGCCCAGCAACCUCUUCCCAAGUACGUGAUCACCCUCCGCCUCCCAAGCCUUCCACCUGAGGGACAAUUGGCUGUGGCACCCACUCCAGCACCCAAACAGAAGCUCCUCUGGGUCUGCAAAAUGGCUGGCAUCAUCUCUUCCAAGAAAGGAGGACUUUUUCCAACGGCAGUGAGAGUAAGGAACUUGCAAUGCCUUGCAAUAUUGUGAAAUCGGCAAGUGGUUCAUAAUUAUUCUGAAGUUCUAAAAAAAUUCCAAGUGGAGCAUCUGUACCUACCUGAAAUGACACAAAUUCAGUGAAGCUCAAUGAAGAAAAAUGAAAAGAGAAAAAGAGGAUGCCAUCCAAACACAGUCUGGAUGUAUUCAAAAUAUGUAACACUUUGGAAAUCAUGUGUACUUAAUGAAAAUUCUGAAGAAAUGUCAACUGGCAUAUCUAGUGCACCCAUGCUAUUGUUACUCAUUACAUUUCAUGAUUUUUACUGUAAAUAAUUUUUGUUGUUUGAAAGAGGAGUGAGUUAAAAAAUUAUCUGCCCAGGUGUCAAGCACACUAGGUAUACUGAUUUGCCACCUCUGGUUGGGCUACAUGGGCUGAGUGCCCUGGUGUGGGGUCUUGUACGGGGCCAAGGUGUGGCAAAGUCAGGCCCCUUUCCUAAUGGGCUCCUACUUCCUUGAGAAGGGGCUUCUAUUCAGGCUCUUAUGUUGCAAGGAACAGACACCCGUUUAGGCUGACUCAAGUCAAUGGGGUUCAGCUGUUCAGCGUCUUGUUCCAUAGCCCUGUCUCAUCUUUACUGAGACAUGGUACCGAGGCUGGCAAGGAGACCCGGGGAAUGUCACCAGUCCCUGGGGUUGCCUCAGCUCAUAGCAGCCCCACCAUAUACCUUUUGACAACUUGGUGUUAGAGUAGAGUCAUCUAAAAGAGGCAAAUGGGUACAAAGUUUUUUCCCGAUGCCCUUUGGGAAAUUCUUAUUAACUCCAUCAACGCAGUCAACAAACACGUAUUAAGUAGCUUCUUUUGGGCCAGGCCUUGUGUGGGUGACUAUGGGUAACAAACACAGACAAGAGGGCAGUGCCUGCCUUCACCAGGGAGCUGGAACAUUCAUGCGCAUGGCUGCAACUCAAGAAAGUAGGAAGCAGCUCUAAGAGAGGCGGGUACAGUGUUAUUAGGAGAAUUCAAAGAAAGGGUGAGAGAACUUUGCCCUAGGGGCCCCACGAAGCUCUGGGAGUCUUUGUAGACUCUGAGAUAGCUGAGAGAGGACAUCUCUUGAAGGCCGAUAUAUUCUUCUCAUAUGCCGUGUUUGUAUCUGAGAACCAUCACUUACCAGCUCUGUGACCUUAAGCAAGUCUCUCCUGCCUUCUGGGACUCAGCUCCCUCCUCUGAGAAAUUGGAGUGGGGGGCAGUAGUCCAACCUCACGGCUGAAUGCAGUGAGUCAAAGUAAGGCUCUUGUAAAGCUCUAGCCCUCCCCAGAGGAAGUGCUUAUUAAUGCUGAUUUAUGUCACACCUCCAGGGUCUCCCAUGAGACUCCCCUUCAUGGGCAGUUCUCAUCGCUGAUGAACAGUAAAAUCAAGAGCUUAACUUGCACCUUCACUCAGGGAAGGCCUUUCUGUAGGGGCUGAACCAAUGUGGUUCUCUGGCGAGUAAACCCAGUCCAAACAUGGAAUGUCUAGAGGAACAGACAAAUACCGUGGCUCUGGUACAACCUUCCUCAAAUAUAAAUUGUCUCAGCAGAGCUUUUGAGAGAAGUGGGUAACUCUUCUAAGAUAUAAAUUGUCAUUUUGUUGCUAAUAAUAAUAAUGAGAAUAAUUGCUGGGCUUCUGCCCUGAGAUCAUAGUCUUACUGUAGGCAAAUCUCAUCACUCACCCAAGGACUGGCCUAGUACCCAAAAUAAUAAUGCCAGCAUUCCCUACCCUCAGAGCCUUUUUAGAACUGUGUCCAUGAUCUCUUGACUCAUCUCUAGAUUUGGCACCUGUACGAAGGUCUAUUAGUGUGUCAAGUCAUGUAUUUCAGCUACUUUUGCUAAAUUACCUGAUUUAAUCUUAUGGCAGCCAUGUGAGGCAGGUCGCCUUAUCUCCACUUUACUGUGCAAGAGCCAGAGCUGGGAUUUGAACCCAGGGCUCUCAGAGUCCAGAGCCCAGGCUCCUAGGUCCAGCCUCUUUGUUCUUUGACAGAAG